rnacentral:misc_RNA from 1 species
CUCAACAUUUGAACUUCUUCACAAUUUUAGUACUUGCUUCGGUGCCAAAUCCCCUAUUUGACCUUGCUGGCAUUAUGUGUGGACAAUUUGGGAUUUCAUUUUGGAAGUUUUUCCUUGCAACAUUGAUUGGGAAAGCAAUUGUGAAAACUCAUAUACAGACAAUUUUUAUUAUAUCUGUCUGUAACAAUCAACUCCUUGACUGGAUAGAGAAUGAGUUGAUCUGGGUACUCAGCUUUGUGCCCGGUUUGGAUUCUGUCCUGCCCAGCAUCAUAGCCAAACUGCAUUCAGUUAAAGAAAAAUAUAUGGCACCUGCACCACCCCUACCCUCAAAUAACAAGGUGAAAAAAUGGGAUUUCUCUUUUGCUGCAGUGUGGAACACCAUUGUGUGGCUCAUGCUCGUGAACUUCUUUUUCAAGAUUGUGACUGCAACUGCACAGGAGUAUUUGAAAAAGCAGCAGGAGAAGGAGCUAGCUGAAUUGACAAAUAAUGUGUCUUCUUCAACACAUUCAGAUUAGAAUCUGACCAGAAGCAUCUUGAUAAACAGGCAACAUACCAACAUUGAAAGUUGCUUUUUCUUUCCUCGACUUUUUCUUUUUUCCUUACCUCAUUACAAUUAGAGUAUGACAGCUCUUUCCCAAGUCACUCCAAAAAUCUAUUUACAUGGGGAAAUCCCUGUUAGUAGCUUGUAUAGAAAUAGGAAGACUAAGUCCCGUCUCACAAAAAUUGGGGUAAACCAUUGUUUAGGGUACUUUUAUUGCCCAUUGUUAAGCAAAAUAGUGAAAUUGGGAAUGGAAGCGUAUUAGAAUUCUUUGGAAUGCAAUACAUGUUAUUGAUCUUUACGGAUUUGAGUACCUUCUCUUCUUUAACUUUAAAGAAAGCAGUUGACACUACUCUUAUGUAGUUAUGUUGUACAUGAGGAUUGCAGAACCGCCUUCAUGUAUUUGUAUCAACCUAACCUUUUGGCUUCAGUCAUGCUUAAUUUGGAGCAUUUAACUAAUGUUAAAAGAAUAGGUUAUGUGGGGCAAAUACAUGAAGGCGGUUCUGCAAUCCU